rnacentral:rRNA from 1 species
AGCGAACGCUGGCGGCAGGCCUAACACAUGCAAGUCGAACGAACCUUUCGGGGUUAGUGGCGGACGGGUGAGUAACACGUGGGAACGUGCCUUUAAGUUCGGAAUAACUCAGGGAAACUUGUGCUAAUACCGAAUGUGCCCUUCGGGGGAAAGAUUUAUCGCCUUUAGAGCGGCCCGCGUCUGAUUAGCUAGUUGGUUGAGGUAAUGGCUCACCAAGGCGACGAUCAGUAGCUGGUCUGAGAGGAUGAUCAGCCACAUUGGGACUGAGACACGGCCCAAACUCCUACGGGAGGCAGCAGUGGGGAAUCUUGCGCAAUGGGCGAAAGCCUGACGCAGCCAUGCCGCAUGAAUGAUGAAGGUCUUAGGAUUGUAAAAUUCUUUCACCGGGGACGAUAAUGACGGUACCCGGAGAAGAAGCCCCGGCUAACUUCGUG